CGCCUGUUUAUCAAAAACAUGUCUUGUAGUUUUUUUUAUAAGUCUAUCCUGCUCAGUGAUUUUUAAAUAGCCGCAGUAUUUUAACUGUGCUAAGGUAGCAUAAUAAUUAGUCUUUUAAUUGAGGUCUGGAAUGAAUGGAUUCACGAGGAAUAUACUUUAUUAAUUUAAUUUUUUUUGAAUUUUAUAUUUUUGUUAAAAAGCUUAAGUUAUAAAGAGUGACGAUAAGACCCUAUAGAUCUUUAAAAUUUUUUUUUUUUAAUUUUUUUUGUUGUUUAUUGUUUAUUUAAAUUAAUUUUUUUUGUUGGGGAGAUAGAUAAAAAUUUUAACUUUAUUUUUUUUUUACUUUUUUUGUGGUUUUUUGAUCCUUAAUUUUGGAUUAUAAGAAUAAGAUACCUUAGGGAUAACAGCGUUAUAAGUCUGGAAAGUUCAAAUUUAUAGAUUUGUUUGCGACCUCGAUGUUGGAUUAACUUAAUUUUGUGGGGUAAGUUUUACAAUUUUAGGUCUGUUCGACUUUAAAUAGUUACAUGAUCUGAGUUCAGACCGG
rnacentral:rRNA from 1 species